GCAGUCGAGCGAGAACCAGGCCUUCGGGCCUGGGGAAAGCGGCGAACGGGUGAGUAACACGUGGGCAACCCACCCUUGGUACCGGGAUAGCCCGGGGAAACCCGGAUUAAUACCGGAUGGCCCAGCAGCUCUUCGGGGCGGCUGGAAAAGGUAGCUUCGGCCUCCGACCAAGGACGGGCCCGCGGCGGAUUAGCUUGUUGGUGAGGUAACGGCUCACCAAGGCGACGAUCCGUAGCUGGUCUGAGAGGACGAUCAGCCACACUGGGACUGAGACACGGCCCAGACUCCUACGGGAGGCAGCAGUGGGGAAUCUUGCGCAAUGGGCGAAAGCCUGACGCAGCGACGCCGCGUGGGGGAAGAAGGCUUUCGGGUUGUAAACCCCUUUCAGGAGGGACGAAGCCACUCGGGUGAAUAGCCCAGAGGGUGACGGUACCUCCAGAAGAAGCCCCGGCUAACUACGUGCCAGCAGCCGCGGUAAUACGUAGGGGGCAAGCGUUGUCCGGAUUUAUUGGGCGUAAAGAGCGUGUAGGCGGCCAUGUAGGUCCGUUGUGAAAACUCGAGGCUCAACCUCGAGACGCCGAUGGAAACCAUGUGGACUAGAGUGCGGGAGAGGAAAGUGGAAUUCCUGGUGUAGCGGUGAAAUGCGUAGAUAUCAGGAGGAACACCGGUGGGUGUAGACGGCUUUCUGGACCGUAACUGACGCUGAGACACGAAAGCGUGGGUAGCAAACAGGAUUAGAUA
rnacentral:rRNA from 1 species